UCAGUCGACUGAUCCAUCUGGGUGAAGCUGAGUAUUGAUGUUCGUUUAGUCUAAUUAAUCGGUACAUUCAGAUGGAUCAGUUGGGUGAGUUUCAAAAACUCAGCUGAAUUUUCUUUAAAUAGCUAGCUGAGUCUUCAUCAUGCAUUCAGCUGCAGCUGAUUCAGUCAAAAAAGGUUAAUGACGAAAAUGACCCUGCUACCACAUAAACCUAAUCUCAUCUCUCUAAUCUCAUCUCUCGCGUUCUUCUCUUUUCUUUGGCGGCCAAUCUCUCUCUCUCUCUCUCUCUCUCUCUCUCUCUCUCUCUCUCUCUCUCUCUCUCUCUCUCUCUCUCGUCCAUCUCUCUCUGGUGACCCUCUCUCUCCGCCGUUCCUCUCUCUCCGGCGACCUCUCUUUCUCUCUGGAUCUCUCCGGCGACCUCUCUCUGUCUCUCAGUCUCAUCUCAGGCGCUCUCUCUCUCUCUCUCUGUCUCUCUCCAGCGAUCCUCUCUUUCUCUCAGGGUUCUCUCUCACUCACUCCUGCGACCUCAGCUCCGGCGACCUCUCUCUCUCGCUCAGUUUAUUUGGAAGAGAAACAAUGGCAUCCAUUCAUGGCACUGAUGUGAGUAUUUGGUCUUUUUGUGUACAGUUUCUUUGAAGAUAGUUGCAUAAACCUUUGAAGAGAACAAUGACAUCCAUCCCUGGAUCUGAUAAUCUUAUAUGGAGUGACGAGCAAACACGGUUCUUUCUUCAACUAAGACUUGAUGAGAAUCUGAAAGGAAACGUGAGAAAACAGAUGGUUAAUGAGGCUGGGAGACAGGCGAUAAUGGAUAAGUUCUAUGAGGCAUUUGGUAUAAAAAUUCCAUGGAGAAAAUUUGGGAUAAAGUACAACACUUGUAAGAAGCAGUACGACUCUUUUAAGAAGCUGACUCGGAACAGAACGGGACUGGGUUUUACUUCUACUGGAUUCAUCAACAUGAGUGAUGACUGGUGGAAUGAGCGAUGUAAGGAGUGGCCUGGUGCUAGAAAAUUUAAAGACAAGCCGAUAGCAAACAUGGAUUUGAUGGAGAAGGUAUUUGGAACAGUUUAUAUUAGUGGAGGUGAAGGUUGGUCUGCUCAGCAAGGUGAAGAGGCUUUAGACACAAAGCAUGGAGAUGAUGAAGAUGAAGAUGAUGCUGAGUCAAGGCGUGAUGUCCCUACUCAGGAAGCUGUUGGAGAUGAAUCAAGGCGUGGUGUCCCUACUCAAGAAACUGAUGUUGCAUCUGAAUCAAGAAAUGCUGGAUCAAAGAAUGUUGGCCCUUCUUCUUCCAGGUCAAAGGUUAACAGGAAAAGAUCAAGGGUUGUACAAGCAGGACAAGCUGUGGCUGAUGUGAUCAGGGAGAGUGUUGAGUCUCGAGACAAGAUUCUUUCCCACAAGAAUCAUCUAAUAGAGAACCAUCCUGAGUUUAGUUGUAGUCAACUUCGAGCUAUGGAGGUUCUACACUCCUUGCCUGCUAUAAGAAUGUGGUCUCCUCUUUACAAAGCCUCAAUUAACCAUCUCAAAGAAGAUGCUGCAAAUCGUCAAACUUUCUUGUUCUAUGGAGAUAAUGAGAACAGGGUUCUCUAUUUGGAGUAUGCAACUGGUGAAAGCAGAGAUGCAUGAGGAGUUGUUUAUGUUUAUGUCUUUGUCUUAGUAUAUGGCAAUGCAACUCUAUUGGAUAAGCAGUUCUUACAAGCGUUCUUACAAGCAGCUCUUACACUUUUAGCUUAAAGUCUCCAAGAUACAAUGAAUAGUAAGGACACGUUUAGGUUCUUAGUUGAAGAUGAAGACAUGGAUUUGAUACUAGAUGAGGAGAAACACAUGUUUGCUCUUUUAGAAGAAACAUAUGGAGCGGCAAAAGUUAGUACUAACAGACAGUUAGUGAGGACAGACCGAGGUGGAGGUUGGCGUCGGGUGCAACGUUUCAUGAACGAAUCCGAGGUACAAUGCUAUGAUAUUCUUCGCAUGAACCAAGCAACGUUUAGUAGCUUAUGUAAGAUAUUGUCAGAGAAGUAUCAGCUAGUAGAGUCUUGCCAUGUUUACAUAGAGGAGAGUGUGGCAAUGUUCUUAGAAAUGGUUGGCCAAGAUUUAACUAUACGAGCUUUAGCUGAGAGAUACCAGCAUUCACUUGACACAGUGAAAAGAAAGCUAGAUGAGGUUUUAAGUUCCUUGUUGAAACUCGCAGCAGAUACUGUGAAACCGGGAAUGGAUGAGUUUGCAAGUGCUAGUCCUAUUUUAGUAGAUGAUCCGCGAUAUUACCCUUUUUUUAAGGAUUGCAUAGGUGCUCUAGAUGGAACUCAUGUGCCGGUUCGUCCUCCUAGUGGGAAUGCCGAACCAUUCAGAGGUAGAAAAGCAGAACCAACUAUGAAUGUCUUAGCUAUAUGUAAUUUCAGUAUGAAAUUCAUAUAUGCUUAUGUUGGGGUUCCUGGGAGAGCACAUGAUACAAAAGU